ACUCAAAGGAAUUGACGGGGGCCCGCACAAGCAGUGGAUUAUGUGGUUUAAUUCGAAGCUACGCGAAAAACCUUACCAGGGCUUGACAUGGAGAAGACCGUUGUAGAGAUACAGCUUUCCCUUCGGGGACUUCUCACACAGGUGGUGCAUGGUUGUCGUCAGCUCGUGUCGUGAGAUGUUGGGUUAAGUCCCGCAACGAGCGCAACCCCUAUUGUUAGUUGCUACGCAAGAGCACUCUAGCGAGACUGCCGUUGACAAAACGGAGGAAGGCGGGGACGACGUCAAAUCAUCAUGCCCCUUAUGUCCUGGGCUACACACGUAAUACAAUGGCGUUUAACAGAGGGAGGCAAUACCGCGAGGUGGAGCAAAUCCCUAAAAGGCGUCUCAGUUCGGAUCGUAGGCUGCAACUCGCCUGCGUGAAGUCGGAAUUGCUAGUAAUCGCGGAUCAGCAAGCCGCGGUGAAUACGUUCCCGGGCCUUGUACACACCGCCCGU
rnacentral:rRNA from 1 species